GAUGAACGCUGGCGGCGUGCCUAAUACAUGCAAGUCGAGCGAACGGACGAGAAGCUUGCUUCUCUGAUGUUAGGGGCGGACGGGUGAGUAACACGUGGAUAAUCUACCUAUAAGACUGGGAUAAUUUGGGGACACCGGAGCUAAUACAGGAGAAUCUUCUGAUCCAUUGGGUCGAAUGGAAAAUGAGGGCGUUGUGGUAUGUACUCACGGCUUCGCGGCGCAUUGGUCAGGUUGUUAGGUUACGGGGUACCCAGGCAACGAUGCAAUGACGACCUGAGAGGGUGAUCGGCCACACUGGAAGGUAGACGCGGUCCAGACGCCUACGGGAGGCAGCAGUAUGGUAUCUUCCGCAAUGGGCGAAAGCAUGACGGAGCAACGCCGAGUGAGUUAUGAAGAUCUUCGGAUCGGAAAACUCUGUUAUUAGGGAAAAACAUAUGUGGAAGUAACUGUGCACAUCUUGACGGUACCUAAUCAGAAAGCCACGGCUAACUACGUG
rnacentral:rRNA from 1 species